rnacentral:rRNA from 1 species
UCCGGCGCAAAGAGAGGCCCAAGUGAGAUUAGCUAGUUGGUAAGGUAACGGCUUACCAAGGCGACGAUCUCUAGCUGUUCUGAGAGGAAGAUCAGCCACACUGGGACUGAGACACGGCCCAGACUCCUACGGGAGGCAGCAGUGGGGAAUAUUGCACAAUGGGGGAAACCCUGAUGCAGCCAUGCCGCGUGUGUGAAGAAGGCCUUCGGGUUGUAAAGCACUUUCAGUUGUGAGGAAAAGUUAGUAGUUAAUACCUGCUAGCCGUGACGUUAACAACAGAAGAAGCACCGGCUAACUCCGUGCCAGCAGCCGCGGUAAUACGGAGGGUGCGAGCGUUAAUCGGAAUUACUGGGCGUAAAGCGCACGCAGGCGGUUUGUUAAGCUAGAUGUGAAAGCCCCGGGCUCAACCUGGGAUGGUCAUUUAGAACUGGCAGACUAGAGUCUUGGAGAGGGGAGUGGAAUUCCAGGUGUAGCGGUGAAAUGCGUAGAUAUCUGGAGGAACAUCAGUGGCGAAGGCGACUCCCUGGCCAAAGACUGACGCUCAUGUGCGAAAGUGUGGGUAGCGAACAGGAUUAGAUACCCUGGUAGUCCACACCGUAAACGCUGUCUACUAGCUGUGUGUGCCUUUAAGGCGUGCGUAGCGAAGCUAACGCGCUAAGUAGACCGCCUGGGGAGUACGGCCGCAAGGUUAAAACUCAAAUGAAUUGACGGGGGCCCGCACAAGCGGUGGAGCAUGUGGUUUAAUUCGAUGCAACGCGAAGAACCUUACCUACACUUGACAUG